UCUUCAAUCAGAUUUUCCUCGUGAAAAAAAAUGGCAAAUGCAGUGAAAACCAGUAAGAAGAAAUUCCAGCUCUGAAACUUUAUGACAAAGUUUCCUCAGGGUCUUCAUUCACCAUCUUGGAAUCUUUAGUCAACUAUUUGCCAUUUUCCAUUUAUUUCCAGGAACAUGGUCCAUGGACAAGGAGCCAAGGAUAUCCCAGACCUUGUUCAGUGUGCCAAGAAGGGUCUUGUUGAUGCCACAGCAGGAGUCAGCAGGAGUCAGCAGAAGUCAGCUGCUGCUGGCCCCAGAAAGGCAGAGAUGAAGGUGUGUGAGUGUGAACUGGUCCUUCUGGCCUGCUGGACCUGGCUGCCUCUUUGAAUAACCCACUUUUUGAGACCUGUUGACAAGGCUCAAGGUGGGAUGCUGCAUGCAAAACCUAGGUGCUAUGGAGGAGUAAUAUCAUCUGUUCCUCAAAGUCAGUGACAGACUGAAACGAUUAGAAAGCCACCACCACUGAAUUGAAAGACUUUGCAUGACAGUUACAAGCUUUUCCCUAUAAAGAGUCAUAUGCUCUUCACUCUAUGAAUCUAGAAGACAGACUGAUAAU